UUCUUCUUCCUCAAUGGUAGUUGUAAUAACAACUUUCAGUUACCUCUCAUUGCCCAGGUGCUCCCAGGUGCUAUUGUCUCCGGAUUAAGUUUGCUGCAAGCUGGAGUUCUACAGGAGCCAUUCUCACAAGAGCUCCUUUUACCUCCAUAUCUGUGCAUCUCUCAACGGUAAUUCUGCAGAUUCAGAAUUUGACCAUGCUAAGAGCUAAGUAUGUAUAAUUUUUCAUCAUCCACCUGAAAAACAGCACCUGAAACUGGGAGCACAUCACAGAGCAGGCAUAAGACUGACAAUGGAACUAUUCUGGGCAACAUUGUCAUUAAGGGACAUGUGACAAUUUCCAAAAAAUGCUACUUUUAGAAACAUGAGAAAAAAACCACUUUUUUUAAUCUUCAGGAAAAUGAAGUGAUUCCUUAAAAGUAAACACAGCAUUAAGGGAAAACAGUCUUUCCUUAAAAAUCAAAAAUAUUUAAGGGGCUCCUGAGUGGUUCAGUCAGUUAAGCGUCCGAUUUCUACUCGGGUCAUGAUCUCAUGGUUUGUGAG